CGUUAGCUCAGCGGUAGAGCAGUUGGCUUUUAACCAAUUGGUCGAUGGUUCGAAUCCAUCACGG
rnacentral:tRNA from 1 species